ACUCUUAAGAGAGAGAUCACUGUACUUUAUUCUGAUCGUGUUUAACAAUAUUUUUGCUUCCAGUUUUAAAUUCAAUCAUGAAGUACACAUUAAUUCCAAAUAAAUCCGGUAUGAUAGUGAGAUACGGGAGUAAUUUAUCAACUUUUUGUUCUUAUUGUUCUAAGCAUCCUACUGUAGUGCGUCUUUUCGAUGCCCUCAAACGAAAAAAGCCUGAAGCAUAUGCUUACAAGAUAUUGCAAAAAUAUGGAGUUCCUAAAUGUAAAAAAGAGUGUUUCUUAUCUUUCAUUGAUCAAAAAAACCAAUAUAAUGCCAAUCAAGAAGAGCGAUGCAAGAAGAACCAAGAUCAAGCAGAUCAAGAAUCGCGACACCCACAAAACAAUUGUUGAAACCUGUAACGAAAACCAAACUAUGUAACCGCAAAUGGAAAGCCUUUAGCUUAUGCAGACGUAACAGCUACAAAUGGUGUUAUUCAUGUUCUCAGUAAACCUCUUUGAACAUUUCAAGCUCAAUUUUUCUUCUUUUGAUUGCAUUUUUUACGUUUGUUUGCGAAAUGAUUACCAAUGUGUAUUUCAUUAAUCGUCUCAGUUAUAAAUGUUACUUCAACAUUUCAACUAUCAAUGGUGAUUAAGGAUCGGUCGGUCAUUUUGGAAAGUUAAACUUACCCUUGAUAUUGCUCUGUAGUCAAUACUUUUGAUAUUUCUACCUUUCAACAUUUCUAUUCCAUUAGACUGAAACUAAUUGUCAGUUUCACUGUCUUUGCUAUUUUUGUAAAUUUCUUAUUUUUUGUAAUAUGAUUACUGAAUAAUUCAAGGUUAUCUGACGAUUUAAUAAAAACAUGUAACGCGUGUAAAAAAAUCAUUUGAGAUUGGUUUAAAGUUUAGCGGUGAACAAAUUUUUAUAUAUAAUAAAUUGGUUAAAAUUA